GUGUCCCCAGGCUGGGGGCAAGUGCUUCCCUGCUGAGGCCCCUCAGUGACCCCACUGUCAACAUGCGUCUCUCUUCUCUCCUCACCCUUCAGCUUCAGGACCUUAAGUCUCAACAUUUCCCUGGAAAACUUCCGAAUGACCCCUGCUUUAGGCUUCUGCCUUCCUUCCUAUCUGUGACAGAUUCCCCUUUCUCUCUUCUCUUUCCUAGUGAUUGACAGGCUGUGUGCCCAGCUCAGGUCUUAGCCCAUGCUACCUGGGAGGCACUCACUGAAUAUUUCUUUAAUGGAUCACAUGAGACCACAACUUCUAGCUCUCAUAGACCUCUUUUUUUUUAUUUUAAAGAUUUAUUCAUUGUAUGUGAGUAUACUGUAGCUGUCUUCAGACAGGCCAGAAGAAGGUGUCAGAUCUCAUUACGGGCGGUUGUGAGCCACCAUAUGGUUGCUGGGAUUUGAACUCAGGACCUUCAGAAGAGCAGUCAGAGCUCUUACCUGCUGAGUCAUCUCUCCAGCCCUCCCAUAGACCUCUUAACCAAGGGAACAAAUAACUAGAGGAUUAAUUUCAGGUAAUGAAAGCUAAGGAAAUCAGGCUGGAUGAGUCUUUCCAGAGAACAGUAGUAUCUCAGGAGGCUAGCGAUCAGUUAUUCUAGCAACAGUGACAUAGGCUGGAUGCAAUGCUGCUAGGCUUGUUAACCACUGUCAUAAUUAGCCAUUUAUUGGUUAAGGGAGAGGUGAGUUAGACAAUCCCUGCUUCUGUACGUGCAAUUAAUUAUUCAUAAAUGAAUCUGCCUGCUUUCCACUCAGACAGUAUCUAAGAGCCAUAGUUGGAAUUUAACAGACAUUCAUUAUUCCCAACAUUUUC
rnacentral:lncRNA from 1 species